rnacentral:rRNA from 1 species
UACAGAGGUCUCAAGCGUUGUUCGGAUUCAUUGGGCGUAAAGGGUGCGUAGGUGGCGCCGUAAGUCGGGUGUGAAAUUUCGGAGCUUAACUCCGAAACUGCAUUCGAUACUGCGGUGCUUGAGGACUGGAGAGGAGACUGGAAUUCAUGGUGUAGCAGUGAAAUGCGUAGAGAUCAUGAGGAAGACCAGUGGCGAAGGCGGGUCUCUGGACAGUUCCUGACACUGAGGCACGAAGGCCAGGGGAGCAAGCGGG